AGAGUUUGAUCCUGGCUCAGAAUCAACGCUGGCGGCGUGCCUCAGACAUGCAAGUCGAACGCGAAAGUCCCCUUCGGGGGAUAAGUAGAGUGGCGUCCGGGUGAGUAACACGUAGGUAAUCUACCUUCGGGUGGGGAAUAACCCAGGGAAACUUGGGCUAAUACCGCAUAAUGCAGCGGCACCACAUGGUGACAGUUGUUAAAGCGGGGGAUCUUCGGAUCUCGCGCCUGAAGAGGAGCCUGCGGCAGAUUAGCUAGUUGGUAAGGUAAUGGCUUACCAAGGCGACGAUCUGUAGCCGGCCUGAGAGGGCGGUCGGCCACACUGACACUGACAUACGGGUCAGACUCCUACGGGAGGCAGCAGUCGGGAAUUUUGGGCAAUGGGCGAAAGCCUGACCCAGCAACGCCGCGUGAAGGAUGAAAUCCCUCGGGAUGUAAACUUCGCAAGAAUGGGAAGAAUUAGUAGGGGUUAAUACCCUCUAUGAUGACGGUACCAUUUGUAAGCUCCGGCUAACUCCGUGCCAGCAGCCGCGGUAAUACGGGGGGAGCAAGCGUUGUUCGGAUUUACU
rnacentral:rRNA from 1 species